rnacentral:lncRNA from 1 species
GACCUCCCAAACAAGGCCUUAGGAUCCCUAGGAUCAAAACUAAUCCUAGCCGAAACCAGAAUCCACACACCAUUUUGUUCUUAGCUCAAACCAGCUCGACUACCGUGCCACUGAGCAUGCCAGUGAGUCCCGCUUUCUGUUUCUCAUCUGAGCCGGCUCUCUCAGGGUCUCGAGCCGGCUCGAGUCAGUUCGAGUCGACUCCACCCAGAGAUGAGUCAGCUCCUUUGCUGUCUGAAACAGACUUUCUUUCUAAGACUUCUCCCAUCCUAGCCCUA